CCGCGCGACGCCCUGCGACGCCCGCGUCGCGACGCUGCUACGCGCCUGCGGUCUGUGCGGCGGCAAGGUUCACGACUCCGGCCAGCUGCUUCUCGUCUCCUAGUCGCCGGCCGCCUCGCCAGGUAUUUCCUUUGGCCGGACGCGUUUCUAAGAAGAAGCAUCAAGAACAGUUCCAGGAUGAGCAAUUAUUUGGUUUCCGGCUUGACUUCUCAUCAGAGAUGAAUAAUUAGCAGCAAGUGAUUAACAUUCACACAUACAAGUCACAUCUCGAAGGCAUCCUGGCUUGACUUUCUGUCCGAGAUGAACGACUGACGGCUGGCGGUUAUCAGUCAACAAUUCUGUUCAAAUCUACAAGGAGGUGGUAUCGCGAUGACUGUGGGGGCGACGCCGUGAUGGCGGGGGCGGUGGUGCGCCAGCUGCUGCUGCUGGCGGCGGCGGCGGCGGCCGCGGCGGCACCGGACCCCAACCCAAACCCCAAACCAAACCCAAACCCAAACCCAAACCCGAACCCGAACCCCGACCCCAACCCUGGGCCGGCGCCUGGACCCGCCGCCGUGGCGCCGACGGCAGCCCCCGUAGAGUGC